AGUGAACGCUGGCGGUAGGCCUAACACAUGCAAGUCGAACGGCAGCACAGGAGAGCUUGCUCUCUGGGUGGCGAGUGGCGGACGGGUGAGGAAUACAUCGGAAUCUACUCUGUCGUGGGGGAUAACGUAGGGAAACUUACGCUAAUACCGCAUACGACCUACGGGUGAAAGCAGGGGAUCUUUGGACCUUGCGCGAAUGAAUGAGCCGAUGUCGGAUUAGCUAGUUGGCGGGGUAAAGGCCCACCAAGGCGACGAUCCGAAGCUGGUCUGAGAGGAUGAUCAGCCACACUGGAACUGAGACACGGUCCAGACUCCUACGGGAGGCAGCAGUGGGGAAUAUUGGACAAUGGGCGCAAGCCUGAUCCAGCCAUACAGCGUGGGUGAAGAAGGCCUUCGGGUUGUAAAGCCCUUUUGUAGGGAAAGAAAUCCAGAUGGUUAAUACCCGGUUGGGAUGACGGUACCCAAAGAAUAAGCACCGGCUAACUUCGUGCCAGCCGCCGCCGUAA
rnacentral:rRNA from 1 species